rnacentral:lncRNA from 12 species
AUGUUUUGUGCUGGAAAUUCUAAAGUUUCGUCUACUUCAUCCCAGGUUGCGACAUGCCUGUGUGAGGCCGGGACAAGCCACGGGGCCACCUGCCCGCCCUGCACUGCGCUCCGGGGCUGGUGGCUCCGGCCGGGAUUCGGGAUGACCCCUCCUGCCAAUCCGCUGCUGAGGAAGAGCAGAGAGCAGGGACCCAUCCCGUCUCUGUGGGGAAAUUUGUCCUCAGGACAGAGCGACAUGGGGCAUCUUGGGGUUUUUCAUGAGCUGGGAGGCUGGGGAGUCUCACCUGCGGGGCCCCCAUGGACUCUUCCAGCGUUACAGCCGCGCCGUCGUCUUCUUGCAACCACCAGGAAAACGGUCAAACUGCAAAGCAGCGAACACGAAACGGGAAAUAAACAUUUCUGAUGUAUGUUUUAUAUAAUCAAGGUAUUCCUUAUUAAAAAGCCAAAUUCUACAUUCUUUUUGCUUAUAUAUUUAAACAAAGAUUAAAAAAAAUAGUCUGCUAGAGUCAGCAAGUCUGCAGGGAGAAGAUAUUUUUAUAACAAUGGAAGGAAUGUCAACUGGAACAUCAUUUUAAAGACUCAUUUAACAAAAUGAAUCAAAAUCUAAAAAUAAUAGUCUUCAAUAAUGUGCCUGUGGACUGUGGUUCUUUCAUUGCAGUGGGUCUGGACCCUUAUCCGCAAGGACUCGGGUCUUUAAUAUCGCAGAGGCCAGGUGCGCGUGGGUGACCUGCCCCGUGGUGACCAGGGGAGGUGACGGGCGUAGAGGGGACAGGGAGACCGCCCAUCAGGUUGGAGGCUCUGCCCCUGGAUCCGAAGCCUGGCUGCCCUGGGCCCCGCGCUCGGUCGCACUUGAAUAUUUCCACGUGUAGACACGCAGGACGACCCCGAAAUGCGGAGACUCAACUUACCGAGCGAAGUUGCAGGUGCGUUUCCUGUGACGCAGCAUCGCAUGGGGGUGGAGGGACCCAGGAGGGGGUGCGGGCUGGAUGCUUCUGGAAGGUUUGAGAAAAGGCGUGGUGAGAGGAGCCUGUAAAGGCUUUAUCAUCUCCGCUCCGGGUUUCCACUCUCCUCGGAACCAUCUACGGGAGGGAGGCCCCAGAGGCUCCAGCAGGAGGAGCGUUUUCAGAGUUUCCUUCUAGAACCUGGGGUGGUGGGUGGGCCCUUGUCGGACAUCACGGGUGCACCCGCGAUGACCGUGCGGGGUCGGGCCAGGAGAGGAGCGAGGGUCUGGCCUGUCCUCCCGCAGGCGGAUUUGGAGCCCCUCCCCGCUCCCUGUAGACACGCGUUUCCACCUUCCCAUCCUCCACCUCAUCCCUGCCCUGCCCGAUACCUUGGCUGCGUCGGCCCGGAGCCUGGAGCCCACGGGAGAGUUGCCUGGCGGAUGCUGAACCUGGGAGGAAAGAAUCCGAUUCAGGGGGUCUUGCCGAAAAUCUGUGUUUACUUUAAAAACAACAUUGAUCUGGCUUUUCCUGAUACUGUUUGCAUUUUCUCUUUUUAGAAAUAUUCUGAGGACAGCCCGGGUGGCUCAGUGGUUUAGCGCCGCCUUCAGCCCAGGGCCUGACCCUGGAGACCCUGGAUCGAGUCCCAUGUGGGGCUCCCUGCAUGGGGUCUGCUUCUCCCUCUGCCUGUGUCUCUACCUCUCUCUCUCUCUCUCUCUGUCUCUCAUGAAUAAAUAAAUAUUAAAAAAAAAGAAAUAUUCUGAU